rnacentral:RNase_P_RNA from 1 species
GCAGUGAGCCAGACGGCCGCCGCGCCGUAGCGCCGCAAGGCGCGAAGGCGGGGAGGAAAGUCCGAACUCCGCAGGGCAGUGCGCCGGCUAACGCCCGGUCAGGGCAACCUGAAGGACAGUGGCACAGAAAAUAUACCGCCUCAGACGGCAGCCCUAAAGGGCCGCCCUACGUACUCCGACGGCAGCCGUAAAGGGCCGCCCUCCGUACGUAGGGCACGGCUUCAGCCGUGCCGGUUGAGGUAAGGGUGAAAAGGUGCGGUAAGAGCGCACCGCGCUCGUGGUAACACGGGUGGCAGGCAAAACCCCGCACGGAGCAAGACCAAAUAGGGAGGCGCCCAGCGGCUCACCGCUGGUUGGACGGCCCGUCCAAGUCUCCGGGUAGGUCGCUUGAUCUCGCCAGCAAUGGCCAGGCUAGAGGAAUGGUCGUCAGCCGCCGUAGCCCGAAAGGGCGAAGGCGGGCACAGAAUUCGGCUUACGGCUCGCUGCGAUC